GCUCUUUGUAAGAUUUUUGUUAAAUAAGGAGUUGUACCUGCUCAAUGAUUUAAGUAUUAAAUAGCAGCGGUAUACUGACCGUUCAAAGGUAGUGUUAUAGUCUAUUAAUUGUUGGCUAAUGAAUGGUUUGACGUAGCACUAUUGUCUCAAGUUUAUUAACUAAAAUUUAACAUGUAAGUGAAAAGGCUUACAUUACUUAAAAAGACGAUAAGACCCCGUUGAAUUUUAGUUAAUGUGCUUUUUUAGGUGCUAAUACUUUAGUUGGGGCAACUGGGAAACAUAGAAAUUUUUUUGUAUGCAUGUUUAUUUAGAUCCACAGGAUUUGUGAUAGAAAGAUUGAAUUACCACGGGGAUAACAGCAUAAUUUUUUUCAUGAGUACUUAUCUAGAAAGAAGUUUGUGACCUCGAUGUUGGACUAGGGAAUCUUUUUGGUGUGAGUUUCUAUUAAAGUUGGUCUGUUCGACCCUUAAAUCCCUACG
rnacentral:rRNA from 1 species